rnacentral:rRNA from 1 species
GUGCCCCUUGCCGCGGUAAUACGUAGGGGGCGAGCGUUGCUCGGAUUUACUGGGUGUAAAGAGCGCGUAGGCGGCCAGGUAAGUCCGUUGUGAAAGCCCUCGGCUCAACCGAGGAUCCGCAUCGGAAACUACUUGGCUUGAGUCCAGGAGAGGAGGGUGGAAUUCCCGGUGGAGGGGUGAAAUGCGUAGAUAUCGGGAGGAACACCGGUGGCGAAGGCGGCCCUCUGGAAUGGUACUGACGCUGAGGCGCGAAAGCUGGGGGAGCGAACGGGAUUAGAUACCCCGGUAGUCCCAGCCGUAAACGAUGGGCACUAGGUGUGGGAGGUAUUGACCCCUUCCGUGCCGCAGCUAACGCAUUAAGUGCCCCGCCUGGGGAGUACGGCCGCAAGGUUGAAACUCAAAGGAAUUGACGGGGGCCCGCACAAGCGGUGGAGCAUGUGGUUUAAUUCGACGCACGCGAAGAACCUUACCAGGGCUUGGACAUGCCGGUAGUACCAACCUGAAAGGGAAAGGAUCCCGCAAGGGAAGCCGGGCACAGGUGGUGCAAUGGCUGUCGUCAGCUCGUGUCCGUGAGAUGUUUGGGGUUAAGUCCCCGCAACGAGCGCAACCCUCACCCUUGGUUGCCAUCGGGUUAUGCCGGGCACUAUGAGGGAACUGCCCCGGUCAACGGGGAGGAAGGCGGGGACGGCGUCAAGUCAUCAUGCCCCUUAGGCCCUGGGCUACACACGUGAUACGAUGGCCGGUACAGAGGGCUGCAAACCCGCGAGGGGGAGCUAAUCCCACAAAGCCGGUCUAAGUUCAGAUUGCAGGCUGCAAUUCGCCUGCAUGAAGGAGGAAUCGCUAGUAACCGCGCAUCAGCAAGGCGCGGUGAAUACGUUCCCGGGCCUUGUACACACCGCCCGUCACACCACGGAAGCCGGCUGUACUCGAAGUCAAUGGGCUAACCCGCAAGGGGGGCAAGUGCCGAACGUUUUUAUGAAGGUGGGUUGAAGUUGUAACAAGGAACC